rnacentral:rRNA from 1 species
GACGAACGCUGGCGGCGUGCUUAACACAUGCAAGUCGAACGGAAAGGCCCUGCUUGCGGGGUGCUCGAGUGGCGAACGGGUGAGUAACACGUGUGUGAUCUGCCCCUUACUUUUGGGUAAGCCUGGGAAACUGGGUCUAAUACUGGAGAUGACCAUGCUGUAGGUGGGGUGGUGGAUAGAUUAGUUUCGGUGAGGGAUGAGCUCGCGGCCUAUCAGCUUGUUGUUGGGGGAAUGGCGUACCAAGGCGUCGACGGGUAGCAGGCCUGAGAGGGUGGUCGGCGACCUUGGGACUGCGGUACUGCCCACAAGACUACGACGGGAAGCAGUGGGGAAUAUUGUACAACGAGGGGCAGCAUGAUGCUGCGACGACGCGUGGGGGAUGAUGGCGUCCGGGUUGUAAUAUCCCGUCAGCGAUGAUGACGCAGUGGUGGUGACGGUAGUGGUAGAAGAAGCACCGGCUAACUACGUG